GACAGAGGUGCCAAGCGUUAGGCGGAAUCACUGGGCUUAAAGCGUGUGUAGGUGGACUGGUAAGUACCUUGUGAAAUCCCACGGCUUAACCGUGGAACUGCUGGGUAUACUGCUGGUCUUGAGCAACCUAGGGGCGAGCGGAACAAAUGGUGGAGCGGUGAAAUGCGUAGAUAUCAUUUGGAACGCCAAUGGUGAAAACAGCUCGCUGGGGGUUUGCUGACACUGAGACACGAAAGCCAGGGGAGCAAACGGG
rnacentral:rRNA from 1 species